rnacentral:rRNA from 1 species
AUUGAACGCUGGCGGCAGGCCUAACACAUGCAAGUCGAACGGUAACAGGAAGAAGCUUGCUUCUUUGCUGACGAGUGGCGGACGGGUGAGUAAUGUCUGGGAAACUUCCUGAUGGAGGGGGAUAACUACUGGAAACGGUAGCUAAUACCGCAUAACGUCGCAAGACCAAAGGGGGGGACCUUCGGGCCUCUUGCCAUCGGAUGUGCCCAGAUGGGAUUAGCUAGUAGGUGGGGUAACGGCUCACCUAGGCGACGAUCCCUAGCUGGUCUGAGAGGAUGACCAGGCAACAUGGAAAUGAGACAAGGUCCAGAAUCCUAAGGGAGGCAGCAGUGGGGAAUAUUGCACAAUGGGCGCAAGCCUGAUGCAGCCAUGCCGCGUGUAUGAAGAAGGCCUUCGGGUUGUAAAGUACUUUCAGCGGGGAGGAAGGGAGUAAAGUUAAUACCUUUGCUCAUUGACGUUACCCGCAGAAGAAGCACCGGCUAACUCCGUG